CGGGGUGCACCAGGCGCGAAAACUUUACAAUGCUGGCAACAGCGAUAAGGGGACCUCGAGUGCCAGGUUACAAAUCUGGCUGUCGUGAUGCCUAAAAAGCAUUGCAUAGCAAGGGCCGGGCAAGACCGGUGCCAGCCGCCGCGGUAACACCGGCGGCUCGAGUGGUAACCGUUAUUAUUGGGUCUAAAGGGUCUGUAGCCGGCCGGAUAAGUCUCUUGGGAAAUCCAGCAGCUCAACUGUUGGGCUUUCAGGAGAUACUGUCUGGCUCGAGGCCGGGAGAGGUGAGAGGUACUUCAGGGGUAGGGGUGAAAUCUUGUAAUCCUUGAAGGACCACCAGUGGCGAAGGCGUCUCACCAGAACGGACCUGACGGCAAGGGACGAAAGCUAGGGGCACGAACCGGAUUAGAUACCCGGGUAGUCCUAGCCGUAAACGAUACUCGCUAGGUGUCGGCCACGGUGCGACCGUUGUCGGUGCCGUAGGGAAGCCGUGAAGCGAGCCACCCGGGAAGUACGGCCGCAAGGCUGAAACUUAAAGGAAUUGGCGGGGGAGCACAAGGGCGAAUCGCGG
rnacentral:rRNA from 1 species